rnacentral:ncRNA from 2 species
CUUCCGGAGGGACCGCGGAGGGGCUCCGACCCGCUGUGCGCCAACCCGAUGUUCCCGGGUGGAUCGGAUGACGAAGCGGCGGGCAACGGCAUCGGAUGCCCGCAAGAACGUCAG